AACACCCAGUACUGCAAGCAUCUGGCCCUGUCUCAGCCAUUCAGCUUCACCCAGCAGGACAUGCCCAAACUUCGUCGGCAGAUCUACAAGGAGCUGUGUCACUGCAAACUCACUGUGUGAGCCUCGUACCCCAGACCCCAAGCCCAUAAAUGGGAAGGGAGACAUGGGAGUCCCUUCCCAAGAAACUCCAGUUCCUUUCCUCUCUUGCCUCUUCCCACUCACUUCCCUUUGGUUUUUCAUAUUUAAAUGUUUCAAUUUCUGUAUUUUUUUUUCUUUGAGAGAAUACUUGUUGAUUUCUGAUGUGCAGGGGGUGGCUACAGAAAAGCCCCUUUCUUCCUCUGUUUGCAGGGGAGUGUGGCCCUGUGGCCUGGGUGGAGCAGUCAUCCUCCCCCUUCCCCGUGCAGGGAGCAGGAAAUCAGUGCUGGGGGUGGUGGGCGGACAAUAGGAUCACUGCCUGCCAGAUCUUCAAACUUUUAUAUAUAUAUAUAUAUAUAUAUAUAUAUAUAUAUAUAUAUAUAUAUAUAUAU
rnacentral:lncRNA from 10 species